UACGUAGGGCGCGAGCGUUGUCCGGAAUUAUUGGGCGUAAAGAGCUCGUAGGCGGCUUGUCACGUCGGGUGUGAAAGACCGGGGCUUAACUCCGGUUCUGCAUUCGAUACGGGCUAGCUAGAGUGUGGUAGGGGAGAUCGGAAUUCCUGGUGUAGCGGUGAAAUGCGCAGAUAUCAGGAAGAACACCAAUGGCGAAGGCAGCUCUCUGGGACGGUACUGACGCUGAGACGCGAAAGCGUGGGGAGCGAACAGG
rnacentral:rRNA from 1 species